rnacentral:rRNA from 1 species
GACGAACGCUGGCGGCGUGCCUAAUACAUGCAAGUCGAACGCAGUGGGGACGGGGGAGUAACACGUGGGUAACCUCCCAUCAGAGGGGAUAACACUUGGAAACAGGUGCUAAACCGAUACUGAUGGAUGGACCCGCGGUGCAUUAGCUAGUUGGUGGGGUAACGGCGCACCAAGGCCACGAUGAAUAGACGACCAGUGAUGGUGAUCAGCCACAGUGGGACUGAGACACGGCCCAGACUCAUACUGGGGGCAGCAGUAGGGACUCUUCGGCAAUGGGCGAAAGUCUGACCGAGCAACGCCGCGUGAGUGAAGAAGGUUUGCGGAUCGUAAAACUCUGUUGUUAGAGAAUCGGUAUCUAACCAGAAAGCCACGGCUAACUACGUGCCAGCAGCCGCGGUAAUUC